rnacentral:lncRNA from 1 species
GGACUAACACAAGGAAACAAAUCUUGAUUUAACAAUGUAAUAGAAAAUAAGAAAAUGUGGUAUAAUUGCCAUGAGAGACUACUCCCCAACAGUGAACAGAUGACUUCUCAGUAGUAAUUAACAACUAAAGGUCACCCUACGGGCUUCAACAAUGAUCAAAACCCAUACCGCAUUGAAAGCUAUUACAGUCUGGCCGCGAAACGACA